rnacentral:rRNA from 1 species
ACAUGCCUAAAACUUAGCGUUAAUGCACCAGAUCCCAUUAGAAAUCCGUAGUUAAGCACGCUCAGGAUAGAGUAUUAUUGGGAUGGGUGAUCGCUCGGGAAGUCCUAAUAUUUUACAUGCC